GAUGAACGCUGACAGAAUGCUUAACACAUCAGCCAUUGAUUGGUGGCGGACGGGUGAGUAACGCGACAAGAACUUGCCUCACAGGUAGGGACACCAUUUGGAAACGAAUGCUAAUACCUAAUACUGUGGGGGAGCUUUGCGUCCCAUUCGCUAGUUGGAGAGGUAACGGCUCACCAAGGCGAUGAUGUGUAGCCGGCCUGAGAGGGUGAUCGUCCACAAGGGGAUGGAGACACGGCCCUUACUCCUACGGGAGGCAGCAGUGGGGAAUAUUGGACAAUGGACCGAAGUCUGAUCCAGCCAUUCUGUGUGCACGAUUAUGUUUGCGGAAUGAAAAGUGCUUGCAGUUGGGGAGCGGUACCAACAGAAGAAGUGACGGCUAAAUACGUGCCAGCAGCCGCGGUAAUAC
rnacentral:rRNA from 1 species